CAUGGCUCAGGACGAACGCUGGCGGCGUGCCUAAUACAUGCAAGUAGAACGCUGAAGAGAGGAGCUUGCUCUUCUUGGAUGAGUUGCGAACGGGUGAGUAACGCGUAGGUAACCUGCCUUGUAGCGGGGGAUAACUAUUGGAAACGAUAGCUAAUACCGCAUAACAAUGGAUGACACAUGUCAUUUAUUUGAAAGGGGCAAUUGCUCCACUACAAGAUGGACCUGCGUUGUAUUAGCUAGUAGGUGAGGUAAUGGCUCACCUAGGCGACGAUACAUAGCCGACCUGAGAGGGUGAUCGGCCACACUGGGACUGAGACACGGCCCAGACUCCUACGGGAGGCAGCAGUAGGGAAUCUUCGGCAAUGGGGGCAACCCUGACCGAGCAACGCCGCGUGAGUGAAGAAGGUUUUCGGAUCGUAAAGCUCUGUUGUAAGUCAAGAACGGGUGUGAGAGUGGAAAGUUCACACUGUGACGGUAGCUUACCAGAAAGGGACGGCUAACUACGUGCCAGCAGCCGCGGUAAUACGUAGGUCCCGAGCGUUGUCCGGAUUUAUUGGGCGUAAAGCGAGCGCAGGCGGUUUGAUAAGUCUGAAGUUAAAGGCUGUGGCUCAACCAUAGUUCGCUUUGGAAACUGUCAAACUUGAGUGCAGAAGGGGAGAGUGGAAUUCCAUGUGUAGCGGUGAAAUGCGUAGAUAUAUGGAGGAACACCGGUGGCGAAAGCGGCUCUCUGGUCUGUAACUGACGCUGAGGCUCGAAAGCGUGGGGAGCGAACAGGAUUAGAUACCCUGGUAGUCCACGCCGUAAACGAUGAGUGCUAGGUGUUGGAUCCUUUCCGGGAUUCAGUGCCGCAGCUAACGCAUUAAGCACUCCGCCUGGGGAGUACGACCGCAAGGUUGAAACUCAAAGGAAUUGACGGGGGCCCGCACAAGCGGUGGAGCAUGUGGUUUAAUUCGAAGCAACGCGAAGAACCUUACCAGGUCUUGACAUCCCGAUGCUAUUUCUAGAGAUAGAAAGUUACUUCGGUACAUCGGUGACAGGUGGUGCAUGGUUGUCGUCAGCUCGUGUCGUGAGAUGUUGGGUUAAGUCCCGCAACGAGCGCAACCCCUAUUGUUAGUUGCCAUCAUUCAGUUGGGCACUCUAGCGAGACUGCCGGUAAUAAACCGGAGGAAGGUGGGGAUGACGUCAAAUCAUCAUGCCCCUUAUGACCUGGGCUACACACGUGCUACAAUGGUUGGUACAACGAGUUGCGAGUCGGUGACGGCGAGCUAAUCUCUUAAAGCCAAUCUCAGUUCGGAUUGUAGGCUGCAACUCGCCUACAUGAAGUCGGAAUCGCUAGUAAUCGCGGAUCAGCACGCCGCGGUGAAUACGUUCCCGGGCCUUGUACACACCGCCCGUCACACCACGAGAGUUUGUAACACCCGAAGUCGGUGAGGUAACCUUUUGGAGCCAGCCGCCUAAGUGGGACAGAUGAUUGGG
rnacentral:rRNA from 1 species